rnacentral:lncRNA from 1 species
CACAAUAUUCUUAUAAUUAAGUUUUUUAGUUUAAGGUUAAACUAUAAUAUAUAAGUCGAUGAGGUCUUAACUUAGUGGUUAAGAUCACCGGAAUACUAUGACCUUUAGGUCUCAUAUUUGUUAGUCACUCAGGUGAGUUUAUUUCUUCCAUUAUGAGAAGUUUGUCUUGUUUGGUUUGAGUUUAUUUCUUUCUCUUCUAGCUAGGUUUGAUUGGAUAUUUGAUAUUGUAAUAGUGUG